GAUGAACGCUGGCGGCGUGCCUAAUACAUGCAAGUCGAGCGAACAGACGAGGAGCUUGCUCCUCUGACGUUAGCGGCGGACGGGUGAGUAACACGUGGAUAACCUACCUAUAAGACUGGGAUAACUUCGGGAAACCGGAGCUAAUACCGGAUAAUAUAUUGCACCGCAUGGUUCAAUAGUGAAAGACGGUUUUGCUGUCACUUAUAGAUGGAUCCGCGCCGCAUUAGCUAGUUGGUAAGGUAACGGCUUACCAAGGCAACGAUGCGUAGCCGACCUGAGAGGGUGAUCGGCCACACUGGAACUGAGACACGGUCCAGACUCCUACGGGAGGCAGCAGUAGGGAAUCUUCCGCAAUGGGGGAAAGCUUGACGGAGCAACGCCGCGUGAGUGAUGAAGGUCUUCGGAUCGUAAAACUCUGUUAUUAGGGAAGAACAAAUGUGUAAGUAACUAUGCACGUCUUGACGGUACCUAAUCAGAAAGCCACGGCUAACUACGUG
rnacentral:rRNA from 1 species